UGGGACUACUGCCGACUCGACCCCAGGACCGUAGCUGGGGUGGAGGCUGGAGCCCUGCUCCCCACCUUGCUGUGCGAGGAUGCCCCCACAGCAAGGACCCCUCCCUAGAGGUCAGCUGUGCCCAGGUGGAGACCCUGUCCCUGGCCACUAACCCUUGGAGCCAUCUCCACCCUGAGACUCACAGCUCCCUGCAGCCUUUCUAGUCUCCGCCAGAGUUCUCCAGAGCUUGGCCCCCAGUAUCCUUCUGACAGAGCCGCAGUGGGCCCUUCCUGCUCUUGCCCAUCAGCCCCUGCCUGUCCUGCCUGUCCUGUGUGUGCUGCACCCACUGUCUGGUCUUCUCUGCCCACAGCUCCCUGGGAGGCUCUGGACCCAUAAGGCCCCAGUGAUGGCUAUGUGGGAGCUCUGGCAGCAGCAGGGAGACAUGGACAGGGAGGCCUGCCCACUGGGCCCACUCUGAUCAUAAGCAUGGACCUCAGGGGCCCUUGGUGUUACCCUGCUGAUGGCCGAGGCCCUUGGUGCUGCCCAGACCCUCCAGGUGCCCCCAGGUCACUUCUAGAUUGAAUUUCACAUGUCACCCCAUCUCCUGGUCCAGUGCAGGACAUACCUCCGCACAAAUAGGGUGCAUGUGGGGUGUGGUUUUGGGCAGGACCUGAGCUGAGAAUUGGAGAGGCUAAGAGCUCACAAAUCGCUCUCUACUGAGAGUCCCAGAGUCCUAGGAACAGCUUCCUGGGGUGGAAGCUGGGGGGAGAUGGGCAGGAAGGCAGUGUGCCCUGUCGGUGCUCAGUGCCCCUGUGUGAGGAGGGUGCCUGGACAGAACUCGGGGUGAUGUGCACAUUGCGAGUCCAGAGGGGCCCAGGGUGCAGCCUCUGAGACCAGGUCUGCAAGGAGAGGUUUGGGCCAGGGAGACUGGGCAGUGGGGGUGAUGGGGGUCUGGAGGAGCUGAGGGCACACAGGGACAAUCCUUAAGGAUGGGCAUCUUUGUGGGGCAGGGGUCUGAUUCAUGGAGACGGGUCAUUGACAGGUAGGCCCCACCCCUUCCCUCCUUCUGCUCCCCCUGUGGUCACACUCAGGGCUGUUUCUCCUGGAGUGAUUGGGGUUUGGAGGGACGGUGUCCCUGAGCCUAGGAUGUGCCCAUGCAGGGAACUCUUCAUUGGUCCUCUGCUUGCCAGGGUUGGGGCAGUGGCACCUCUUUCCUGUGGAAACUUUGGAGACAGGGAUCCCCUGGGGCCUCUGAGCUUUUCCAGGAGCUCAGAGGCAUAAGUGUCUAGUCCCAAAGAAGAUGCAGAAGUGGUUGUUGCCUGGAGACGUCCCCUGGCUGGCUCUUUCCCCAGAGGUUUGUGCUGGGAGAUUCCAUCCCAGUCCCUGGAGCCCCUGGCACAGUUGGCUUGAGUCCUCUCAGUGGCUGGAAGCCCCUGGGGGAGAUGACAGUAUCUAGACUGGAGAGAUAAGCCCCACCAGGAUCCCAAGCCCCCUCUCCUCAUGCCCCAGUGGACGGGGCACCAGCUUCCAUACCCACCUCCCUCCAUCUGCCCUGCAGGCCGCACCCUGGAGGAAGACCCAGAGGCUCUGAGCAUCUAUGAGAAGUUUGUGAAAGACAAAGGGCUGACCAAGAUCACCGCCCCUCCCCACCUUGGUAACCAGGGCCCUCCUUUCUCCUCCCUUCACCUGUGAUCUCCGUCACCAGCGGCUGGGCCUUUGGGUCUCCUUCCUCCUAUUAGAUGGUGACCACCUGUUCCCAUCCCUUGUGUUUUUCUGGGUCUGCAGAAGCCUGUAAGUUGCCCAGAGAGUCCUAGAGCAGGAGGGGGCUGCAGAGCACCCGGGAGGAUGGAGCUGAGAACCCUGGCCACCCUUUCCCUCCCACAAGCAACUCCCUGUGGCAAGAAAGAGCAGGGCCCAGCCCACGCCGCCUCACAUCUCAUCCUAAUAAAGCUGGACAAUGGCCCCUGGCCACAUGGGAAACCCCAGAGCUUGGUCAGCGUGAUGAAAUGAGGCUGGUGCGCCUGCUGGUGGCAGUUAUCCACCUAAGGACUCUGUUCUCCCACAGAGACAGGGAGACAGUCCUCUGCCCCCUGACGGUCACAUUUCAAAGGAAAGGUUUUCAGGCCCCUGGGAGAGACCCUUUGGGUCUGAGUUAGUGACCAGUCACAGCUGCAAGCCCUUUUCAGUAAAUGCUCUAAGAAAGGAGGCCAGGGGUUAGCCAGAGAAAAGAGCGAAUUCUCCUGGCAGCAGGAGGCUCUCAGGCAGGCACCUGAGCAGGGCUGGGGUCCCCAGGGCUGAGGCCUCAUGCUGCUAGGAUCCUUGCCACAGUGAGGUCGUACCGUGCAGAGUUUGUAGGGAGUUGUCGAGAGUUCUGGGGUUGUCAUCGCACACAUGUUGAUUCAGCCUGAUUCAACACUGUGGGUGUCGUACCCUAGAACCCAUUCCUACCCCCGGCCUCAGCAGCAGGAGGCCACAAAUGAACAGUCUGAUCUCAGGCAAGGCAGGAGAUUUCAGGGGCAUCCAUGGGGGAUCAAGACAUUCUGCGUAAGGUUUUUGUUUUUGUUUUUCCCUGUGACCAAAAUGCCUAAUGAGAACAAUUUAGAGGAGGAGAAGUUUAUUUGGGGCUCAUAGUUUCAGAAGUCUCAGUCCAUAGAUGGCUGACUCCAUUGGGUCCAAGGUGAGGCAGCACAUCAUGGGGGAGGGCCCUGUGGAGGAAGGCUGCUCAGCUCAUGCAGCCAGGGAGCAAGAGAGAGCAAGUCAGGGACAGAAGCAAAACAUGACUUCCGAGGUCCCCCUGUGACCUACCUCCUCCAGUCAUGCCUCAACUACCUAGUUACCACCCUGUUACGCCAUUCAAACUAGAAAGGACUGAUUAGGUCACAAUUCUUACAAGCCAAUGAUUUUAUCUCUGAACACUCCUGUAUAAACACAGGAACUCUUGAUCCAAACCAUAACACCCUCACUGUCAUCUGGCCUUGCACAAAUGUCCCAAUUCUGUGUGUCAACCUCUCCCCCUAUUGACUUGACUUACACACAAGGGACUUCACCAGGUUUGAAUGCAACUCCCCAAGUAAUUCUGAAGCCCUGCUAUUAAACUUGGGGUCUGAUUUUCAGCCACUGCUGUCCUGUGGCUACAAAAGUCACAUAUAGUUUUAAGAACAUGGUACAGCCUUUCUGUCCCCCGCCCCACCAUGUUUUUAAAUUAGUGCUUUAUAGUUUUCUCUCUUCUUUCUAAAGACUUUCUUUAGAAGUUUCUUUUCUCUGCUUGAGCUCAAAACUUGACAUUUCCUUCCAGAAAUCCCCAGUACAGUCAUAUUUUAAUAAGCUUUUUCACUGAUGUGACCAAAAGACCUGACAAUAACAAUUUUAGAGGAGGAAAAAUUUAUUUGGGGCUCAUGGUUUCAGAAGUCUAGGUCCAUAGACAACCGUUUCCAUUCCUUGGGGCCGGAGGUGAGGCUGGACAUCACAUCAGGAAGCAGAGAGACUUCUCCUCUUACCAAGGACAAAUAUAGAGCCCAAAGGCACACCCUAGGAGCCCACCUCUCCCAGGCACACCCCACCUGCCUCCAGUUACCACUUAGUUAGUCCCUAUCAGGGAUUAAUGUGCUGAUUAUGUCAGGGUUCUCACAGACCAAUCAUUUCACCUCUAAACAUUCUUGCAGUCGUCCACAUGAGCUUUGGGAAACACCACACAUCUAAACCACAAGUCAGAAGCAGUCUCUCCAUCCCUGGUCCUUCUGGUUAUUGUCUUUGUUUGCAGCCACAUGUUGGUUCCUUUCCCAAAGCCUGGCUUCCCAUAAGGACUGUCCCUGAGCAAGCUCAGCUAACACCUGGAGGCUCUGUGGGGUCACUUUGUGCCCUGCGCCUCCCACAUCCCAUUUUCCAUCUGCGAGAUGCCCCCAUGCUCUGCAAGUACAGGCAACCUCACUCUUGCACCGUGGUUGGCAAGAGUGGGGACCGCCUUUCACUGAGGAGCUAGAGGAAAAUCUGACUGCCCGGUCGCCUGAGCUGGCGGAGAGGGCAGUGGGGAGACCGCUCUCUGUCGACAGCGGGGCGGGGCGACGCCGGCCCUGCCCUUCCUCCUGUGCACUGGGAGCCUGGGCGUGUUCCUCCUGCCCAAUAAAGACACAACCCAAACCAAACGUUUAGCUUUUGAUGAGACAGGUCCAUACUUGUAACUCCCAUCCCUCUUCAUGGGCUGAAAUCAAGGGCUGCGGGGAGCUUGCAGAGGGGGGAACAUUUCCUGCAGUUUCCCACUU
rnacentral:lncRNA from 1 species